rnacentral:rRNA from 1 species
GACGAACGCUGGCGGCGUGCUUAACACAUGCAAGUCGAACGGAAAGGCCCUGCUUUUGUGGGGUGCUCGAGUGGCGAACGGGUGAGUAACACGUGAGUAACCUGCCCUUGACUUUGGGAUAACUUCUGGAAACUCGGGCUAAUACCGGAUAGGAGCUCCUGCUGCAUGGUGGGGGUUGGAAAGUUUCGGCGGUUGGGGAUGGACUCGCGGCUUAUCGGCUUGUUGGUGGGGUAGUUGCUUACCAAGGUUUUGACGGGUAGCCGGCCUGAGAGGGUGACCGGCCACAUGGGGACUGAGAGACGGCCCAGACGCCUACGGGAGGCAGCAGGGGGGAAUAUUGCACAAUGGGGGGAAGCCUGAUGCAGCAACGCCGCGUGCGGGAUGACGGCCUUCGGGUUGAAAACCGCUUUCGCCUGUGACGAAGAGUGAGUGACGGUAAUGGGUAAAGAAGCACCGGCUAACUACGUG